UGCUUGGGAAAUGCUAUACACAAACGCUGUAGAUGAAAUACCAAACACGAGCAGAACUUCGGCAUAGACUUUUUGUGAAAUAAAAAAGAAACUUAAAAAGGAUGCAACGAAGAAUGGAGUGAAGCUAUAAUCAACAAAUCAAUCAAUCAAUCGGUAUAUGCACUUAAAAUUUGAACCAGCAAAUACCACUCGUAAAACCAAAGAUGAAAAUCAAUAGAUAAAGGAUAAAAAAGAAAAAGAAAAAGAAAAUUUUUAACAAAAAAAUAAUUU